GGUUCCAUGGUUAGGUAACGGUUAGCACUCUAGACUCUGAAUCCAGCUAUCCGAGUUCAAAUCUCGGUGGGACCC
rfam:Danio rerio chromosome 4, GRCz11 reference primary assembly.